rnacentral:rRNA from 1 species
GGCGUGCCUAAUACUUGCAAGUCGAGCGGACAGAUGGGAGCUUGCUCCCUGAUGUUAGCGGCGGACGGGUGAGUAACACGUGGGUAACCUGCCUGUAAGACUGGGAUAACUCCGGGAAACCGGGGCUAAUACCGGAUGUUUGUUUGAACCGCAUGGUUCAAACAUAAAAGGUGGCUUCGGCUACCACUUACAGAUGGACCCGCGGCGCAUUAGCUAGUUGGUGAGGUAACGGCUCACCAAGGCGACGAUGCGUAGCCGACCUGAGAGGGUGAUCGGCCACACUGGGACUGAGACACGGCCCAAACUCCUACGGGAGGCAGCAGUAGGGAAUCUUCCGCAAUGGACAAAAUUCUGACGGAGCAACGCCGCGUGAGUGAUGAAUGUUUUCGGAUCGUAAAGCUCUGUUGUUAGGGAAAAACAAGUGCCGUUCAAAUAAGGCGGCACCUUGACGGUACCUAACCAAAAAGCCACGGCUAACUAC